rnacentral:rRNA from 1 species
CCUACGGGAGGCAGCAGUGGGGAAUAUUGCACAAUGGGGGAAACCCUGAUGCAGCGACGCCGCGUGAGUGAAGAAGUAUUUCGGUAUGUAAAGCUCUAUCAGCAGGGAAGAAGAAAGACGGUACCUGACUAAGAAGCCCCGGCUAACUACGUGCCAGCAGCCGCGGUAAUACGUAGGGGGCAAGCGUUAUCCGGAUUUACUGGGUGUAAAGGGAGCGUAGACGGCUGUGCAAGUCUGAAGUGAAAGGCCAGGGCUCAAGCCUGGGACUGCUUUGGAAACUGUGGAGCUAGAGUGCUGGAGAGGUAAGUGGAAUUCCUAGUGUAGCGGUGAAAUGCGUAGAUAUUAGGAGGAACACCAGUGGCGAAGGCGGCUUACUGGACAGUAACUGACGUUGAGGCUCGAAAGCGUGGGGAGCAAACAGGAUUAGAUACCCUUGUAGUC